AGUCUGGAGCAGAGGAUAAGCCAGAGACAGAGGAAGUAGGAGGAUGCUCUCCGCGUCGUUGCAAAAUCCAACAUUAAUAGAUCAGAGUGGAGGCAGGACGGAGUUGUAGAAUCGGCGCAUGGCCAGACCCAGCUCUAGCUGUCGCGGGAGAAGGCAAAGGCGGCGAGUGCGUGGCUGCGCCAGAAGCAAAAGGAGCGCCGAGCACGCUGAUUGGUCUCGUUCCGACACGCUGCCGCUGGUGUGGCGCCGCCGCCGAUGUGUAGGCACCGAGUUGUAGAGCCGAGCUGCUGGGGAGGGCGAGGUCGGCGACCAGGACCUGGGAAGAGCGGGGGAUCGAGUUUUCUUCGGUCGCCGCGUCGCCGGCCCAGCCAGCAAGUUCGCGGGCAAUGGGGAACUGGCGGCCGGCAGGAGUGGGAGAAGUUCGAUUUUGACGGUGUAUGUGGUGGUGGAGAUCUACCUUCGGCCAAGAUUCGGCACAAUGGCUGGUAUAUGCAACUUAAUCUUGAAGUGAGGUGUGGUAGGUGAACCGUGGAGAAGAACAGAAGCACCAGGCCGGAAAGGGAGAUCUGUUAGUCGUGCCGCCGCUGGCUGGAGCACGGGGCGCCACCGCAGCUCGAACCGCACCACCGCACGGGCUCAAGAUGAAGCUGCGGGUAGUGAUGUAGCACGGGACGCCACCGAAGCUCGAACCGCACCACCGCACAGGCUCAAGAUGAAGCUGCGGGUAGUGCUGGAGCGGGAGAGCGCCGCCACGCUGGCUGGGCCUCGGAGAGCCUCUACGUGCUGUGGCGGGGGACGUUGCUGAUUUUUUCAAUGAGCUUCUGGAUAAAGAAGAGCUAGGGGGCAGCAUAUAGUUACAUUGAAUAGAGAACAACAAAAGCUGAGUCGGGCCGAUCUGCUAUUAAUUGUGAUGCAGGUCUGGCUGGAAACCAGCAGCGUCCAUCUCCAAGAGGAGCGCAGAGGAGAGGCGGUAGAGGUUCUUUGGCAGGCUGUCGGUGUUUUGGUGAUCGAGGCUGAUGCGGCACCCGAACUUGCCGAGCAUGUGGUACUUCCAGUGGGCGAACUCCUGGGUCCGUCGUCCUCUCCAAGGUUCAAUGAAAUACCUGCAGAUCAGAUAAACUGUAGUAGUAUGUAAGAAUAAGGGAAACCAAAAGUAAUACAUGUCUAGACUGGUCAUUCGAGCAAUGCCUAAGGCAAGAACACAGGUAAACAUGCAAUAUUUCCAGUAUGUUCAUAUUUGACACCUAAAAUAAUACGAAUGGCUCAUUAUAUUAGACCUUGCAGAAACUGCUCAGUUAACACAUCUGUAAAUAAGAAACAGAAAAUUUGUUUGAAAGCAACACCUAUAAUAAAGAAAAAGAUCACAUGCAGAAAAUUGUUGUCUUAUUUGUAUGAUCAAUUGUUUACUCAAGAAAGACCUAACCAGUCAAUCACAUUGAAGAUAGAUAAAUAGCUUUACUUUUUAUCAUUGUGCAUACUCUCAGUUAUACCUGAAACAAACUGAAUCAAAGUGAAACCAGGCAAUUUAAAACUGUUAAAAUAUAGCCAACCCAAAUCACUUUGCAUAUCUGAAUCUGCAAAGCAUGAGCACUGGCAAUGCAUAGUACCCAAAAUCUAGGUGAGCAACAAUACAAUGAAACAUAGGUAAAAAAAUGCAGUACAAAGGUCUUAUUCUAAAGCUAGAAAGCAAGAAAUGAUCAUAUAAGAAGAAAACACAUGAAUGCACAUCACGCCGGGGGGUGGGGAACAUUAGAACACAGUUCAGAACAUCUUAUCAUGCAAACUAUAACACAUGCACAUCUCCCAGUUUACGAAGUGCAGUGUGCAAACGCCUAUACUGAUGUUUGUAUGUAUCUUUACACUGAACAUAAGUUUCUUGUUUCCUACUUGUCUGAACACAGAUAAGUUGACAUUAGGACCUGCUAUUAGAUUGGUGUUUUCAGAAGAAAAAACACAUGUCCUUCAGUUGCCUACUUGUCUGAACAUAGAUAAUUUGACAUUAGGACCUGCAAUUAGAUUGCUAUUUCAGAAGAAAAAAACAUGUCCUUUGCUGGGGUGCAAAACCUGGAAAGAUUGAGGCGACAUAUACCUCUAUUGAAGAGGCCGCUGCCUGGCUAUUGGCUUAAAACUUCAUGGCAUCAAGCAGAUUGAUUUUGCACCACCGAUAUCACUUACAGUGGUGGAAAACUCAAAUGCCGUGAAAAUGGCAGCCGCAAGGUGACAUGUGCCACCUCACCCCUGUAGUCCAAUCAGUGCGAGCGAUGGCGAGGAGCAACCUGCGACAGUGGUUGAGUAUGAUUUUUCCGACAACCUAGAUGGCGGCGUCGUGAACCAAGAAGUUGUGGGGCUCAGGUUGGAGCUACACGAACAAACAAAGAAGAAUAAGUUAGAAAUUAAAACAUCGCUAAGAAAACCAAAUGAACUAAAAAUUAACAUGACCUGAUGCGGAUGGAAUUCGGAUGGAAGAACAACCGGGAUGAGUACACCUCUCUAACCAGGCGAAGCGGAAAAUAGAGAAGGUGGCGAGGAUGACAAUCUAGGCCGUGGCUAAGCGGCUGAGUGGGAAUCUCAAUCGCUCCAAUGCUGGAGAGGCUAGAGCGGCCGGUCAGAGGACGAAGCAGCCAAGCACCGCUUCUUGAACAAUAUCAUGGGCACUCUGGUCAUCGUCUAGAUUGUUUCCAGGUCUAGAUGGUUUCCAGGCCACGUUGCCUGAUGAAGAAGGAAGAACAUCCAUGAUGAGAACACGUCACCGAACCAGACAAAGAAAUCUGUGAAGAAAAUAAAAUGAUCAGUUGGAGAAAAUGGUGAAGGCAUGUACUGGUACGAUCAAGAAGGAACACGCCUAAGAAGGAGAACCCGACCUUCCCUUACCUCCGGCCCAACUACCAAUCCUUAUGACGGCAGGUGGCGGCAGAAUUCAUUCUUUUUACUGCAUAAACAAAUCUAACAAAAGAGGAAGAAGAUGGAGAGGUGUGAAAUCGCAGACACACCCAUUUACCAUCCCCGUCGCCUCCUUGCUCUAAAUAAAAAGCUUUUGCCUCUCACAGCCUCACUCUUAUCCCCAUUCACUUCCUCUGUCUCCCCCACCGCCGGCGACCGAAUCUCGGUUCCCUGCCUCCCCGCCGGUGGCCUCGACAACCACAUUCUCCUUACGGUUUCUGCAGGCGACCGGAGACCAGGCAGCCCAGGUGGAAGGUCAGGUGACCAAGGGCUGGGGGCAAACAGAGGUGGAGCCGCGGCAGCGGCCACCGACACCGGCGUUCGAUGCCUCUGCGCCAGACUCCGCUCCUCCAUCCACGAUGUGCUUCCCGCCACCAGUGAGCCCCCUCCCCAUCAGGACAAGGUCGCUCACCCCAACGGCAAGUGUCGCCGUGCAUAAAAAAACCAGCCAUGCGCUCGCCCCACCAUUCUUGUCGAUCUCACCCCUUUGAUUUUCCCGCUCUGAUUCCAUGGUCUAUCGCCGCGAGCACCAAGGAGUUAAUCGAGGCUAGCAAAGGAGGCGCGGGAGAAGGGCUAGGACUGCUGCUUCGCUGACGUACUGCCAUGGCGAGUCGGCGGUAGCUUCCUGCACCGGCAGCCAGAUAAUAUUCCUCUCGGGUGCUUCGUUGCUCACUGAUAAGGUUAGACCAUCUUCAGCAGACUCCCACAAAAUCGUGUGAACAAUCAUGUCAGUCCAGGGCAGCGUAACAAGACAAUAUAAUGAGGAUAUCUGUUUUGUUGCAAUGCAUUUUCUCACAGCAAUUUCCGAGAUAGAUGUUUAUGUAAGAACAGGAUGGUAGCAAAAUGCUAAUUGAAUCUAUGCAAAUCAAUUAGAAGCUGCAAUUAGCAUAUUGCUACCAUCCUGUUGAUUGAUUUGCUGGACAAUAAAAUUGAUUUGCUGGAAACGACAAGUCAAAACAUCAUGUGUUUAACUUCCACAGGAGCUCAUUAAAUAAUAUUUCUAAUCCACAUCAUGUGUUUAGGCAUCUGAAAUUUUCAACAUCAUAGUUUCGGACUUAUUUUACUUACCGUUUAGAUUUGAGCUUCGCCUCUAAAUCAGAGCACUUCGCAUAGAGAAAGUACCAAGUCAAAACAGUGAGAUAAUGACCUCAGAAACAUGGUAUAAAUAAAGUUAAAUGGACCUCUACAGCAGCAGCCCUCGAUGCAGCAUCAGCACGUUGCUCUUGGACCUCUUUUUUUAGUUCAGCCCCAGCUCCAUUUCAUAUGAAAUGAAACUUUACAUUGUUCAUUUUAGGGAAAGUAAAAACAAGGCCAGGCCCCGCACACAGCUAAGGUUCAUAGCGAACAUAAAAAGUAGAGAGAUGGCAGAGGAUGAUCAUCAUGAAACAGAGCCUCGCCCGAAUGAAACAUCUAAAACAAAGAACCAAGUCUGCAUAACAGAAAAACAGGGGAAACUGGUUCUGCUUGUGUUGCCCAGUGCAACAAUAUAGAAGAAUCUAGCGCUCAGCCAUAAAGAGGCUCCUUCCCGCGACGAUGCUGAGAAGCUGCGGCUGCCUCAUCUUUGUCAUCCUCGCCACCAUAAUCACCGGAGCUGCUAGAUGGGCUGACCUGAGACUCAAUCUCAUCAUCACGAGUAGUCCUAUUCUGACGAUACGGAUGAAGAAGCCGAAUUUCUUGCAUCUCAAUACUACCUCUGU